CCUACGGGAGGCAGCAGUGGGGAAUAUUGGGCAAUGGGCGCAAGCCUGACCCAGCAACGCCGCGUGAAGGCAGAAGGCUUUCGGGUUGUAAACUUCUUUUCUCAGGGACGAAGAAAGUGACGGUACCUGAGGAAUAAGCCACGGCUAACUACGUGCCAGCAGCCGCGGUAAUACGUAGGUGGCAAGCGUUAUCCGGAUUUACUGGGUGUAAAGGGCGUGUAGGCGGGAAAGCAAGUCAGAUGUGAAAACCAUGGGCUCAACCUGUGGCCUGCAUUUGAAACUGUUUUUCUUGAGUACAGGAGAGGCAGACGGAAUUCCUAGUGUAGCGGUGAAAUGCGUAGAUAUUAGGAGGAACACCAGUGGCGAAGGCGGUCUGCUGGACAGCAACUGACGCUGAGGCGCGAAAGCGUGGGGAGCAAACAGGAUUAGAUACCCCGGUAGUC
rnacentral:rRNA from 1 species